UGUGUGUGUGUGUGUGUGUGUGUGUGUGUGUGUGUCAGCCCUGCACGUGUUCACACACACAGCCCUGCGCACGCCC
rnacentral:pre_miRNA from 12 species